UUGGAGGGCAAGUCUGGUGCCAGCAGCCGCGGUAAUUCCAGCUCCAAUAGCGUAUAUUAAAGUUGCUGCAGUUAAAAAGCUCGUAGUUGAAUUUCGGGACCAUCAUGUCGGUCGUGCCUCGGUACGUACUGGCAUUGUUGGUUUCUACCUUCUGACGAACCAUGAUGUCAUUUAUUUGGUGUCGUGGGAAAUCAGGACUGUUACUUUGAAAAAAUUAGAGUGUUUAAAGCAGGCUCACGCUUGAAUACAUUAGCAUGGAAUAAUGAAAUAGGACGUUUGAUCCUAUUUUGUUGGUUUCUAGGAUCGACGUAAUGAUUAAUAGGGAUAGUUGGGGGCAUUAGUAUUCAAUUGUCAGAGGUGAAAUUCUUGGAUUUAUUGAAGACUAACUACUGCGAAAGCAUUUGCCAAGGAUGUUUUCAUUAAUCAAGAACGAAAGUUAGGGGAUCGAAGACGAUCAGAUACCGUCGUAGUCUUAACCAUAAACUAUGCCGACUAGGGAUCGGAUGAUGUUAAUUUUUUAAUGACUCAUUCGGCGCCUUACGGGAAACCAAAGUGUUUGGGUUC
rnacentral:rRNA from 1 species